rnacentral:rRNA from 1 species
UACGUAGGGUGCAAGCGUUGCCCGGAUUUAUUGGGCGUAAAGGGCGCGUAGGCGGCCCGGCGCGUCCGCGGUGAAAGCUCCCGGCUCAACUGGGAGAGGUCCGCGGAUACGACCGGCCUGGAGGGACGUAGGGGGACCUGGAACUUCCGGUGGAGCGGUGAAAUGCGUUGAGAUCGGAAGGAACGCCCGUGGCGAAAGCGAGGUCCUGGACGUCGACUGACGCUGAGACGCGAAAGCCAGGGGAGCGAACGGG